UGAACCGCUGAGUACUGAUGAUGUAUC
rnacentral:piRNA from 1 species